rnacentral:rRNA from 1 species
UACGUAGGGUGCGAGCGUUGUCCGGAUUUAUUGGGCGUAAAGAGCUCGUAGGUGGUUUGUCGCGUUGUCCGUGAAAACUCACAACUCAAUUGUGGGCGUGCGGGCGAUACGGGCAGACUGGAGUACUGCAGGGGAGACUGGAAUUCCUGGUGUAGCGGUGGAAUGCGCAGAUAUCAGGAGGAACACCGGUGGCGAAGGCGGGUCUCUGGGCAGUGAACUG